AGGCACUGUGCUGGCCUGGGCUGU
rnacentral:piRNA from 1 species